UACAGAGGGUGCAAGCGUUGUCCGGAAUUAUUGGGCGUAAAGAGCUUGUAGGCGGUUUGUCGCGUCUGCUGUGAAAUUUCGGGGCUCAACCCCGAACUUGCAGUGGGUACGGGCAGACUAGAGUGUGGUAGGGGAGACUGGAAUUCCUGGUGUAGCGGUGAAAUGCGCAGAUAUCAGGAGGAACACCGAUGGCGAAGGCAGGUCUCUGGGCUGUAACUGACGCUGAGGAGCGAAAGCAUGGGGAGCGAACAGG
rnacentral:rRNA from 1 species